UACGUAGGGGCAAGCGUUGUCCGGAUUUAUUGGGCGUAAAGAGCGUGUAGGCGGCCAUACAGGUCAGCUGUGAAAACUCGAGGCUCAACCUCGAGACGUCGGUUGAAACCGUCUGGCUAGAGUCCGGAAGAGGAGAGUGGAAUUCCCGGUGUAGCGGUGAAAUGCGCAGAUAUCGGGAAGAACACCCGUGGCGAAGGCGGCUCUCUGGGACGGUACUGACGCUGAGACGCGAAAGCGUGGGGAGCAAACAGG
rnacentral:rRNA from 1 species